rnacentral:rRNA from 1 species
CGCGGCCUAUCAGCUUGUUGGUGGGGUAACGGCCCACCUAGGCGACGACGGGUAGCCGGCCUGAGAGGGCGACCGGCCACACUGGGACUGAGACACGGCCCAGACUCCUACGGGAGGCAGCAGUGGGGAAUAUUGCACAAUGGGCGAAAGCCUGAUGCAGCGACGCCGCGUGAGGGAUGACGGCCUUCGGGUUGUAAGCCUCUUUCAGCAGGGAAGAAGCGAAAGUGACGGUACCUGCAGAAGAAGCGCCGGCUAACUACGUGCCAGCAGCCGCGGUAAUACGUAGGGCGCAAGCGUUGUCCGGAAUUAUUGGGCGUAAAGAGCUCGUAGGCGGCUUGUCACGUCGGAUGUGAAAGCCCGAGGCUUAACCUCGGGUCUGCAUUCGAUACGGGCUAGCUAGAGUGUGGUAGGGGAGAUCGGAAUUCCUGGUGUAGCGGUGAAAUGCGCGGAUAUCAGGAGGAACACCGGUGGCGAAGGCGGAUCUCUGGGCCAUUACUGACGCUGAGGAGCGAAAGCGUGGGGAGCGAACAGGAUUAGAUACCCUGGUAGUCCACGCCGUAAACGUUGGGAACUAGGUGUUGGCGACAUUCCACGUCGUCGGUGCCGCAGCUAACGCAUUAAGUUCCCCGCCUGGGGAGUACGG